rnacentral:sRNA from 12 species
GAUAGGAGGAGCCGCAAUGAACGCAGUUCAUACUCGGAAUCGGCUCUGACAACCUGCCCCGCUGCGGGGCAGAGGGGCGAUACAUAUU